UAGAUUGAAGCCAGUGUUUAGGGUUUUUAGCUGUUAACUAAUGUUUCGUGGGUUUAAAUCCCACCAAUCUAG
rnacentral:tRNA from 1 species